AUGGCCAUGGCCAUGUUCACGAUAGCCGCCCACGUCCUCCGCCGCCUACCUGCCAUGAGCGCGGCCCGGUCGUGUCCGGCGCACAACCAAGGCCGCAGGUUUCUCACUACGAACAAGGUGCACGGCCUCUUCAUCAACUACAUCGACCACUGCCGGCCGCACCUCUUCGCCCGCCCCUCCUCCGACUCCAUGAUCGACCCCAUGCUUGACUUCCUGCCCGAGGACAACCACAGGCGCGGGUGGUGGUCGAUCCUGGACCACAGCAACGGCCUCCUCCUCUGCAACAUGGGACCUGGCGAGCUCUGCAUGUUUAACCCGGCGACGCGGCGGUGGACGAUCCUACCCUGGCCCCGGCAGGCCCCGGUUGCGUUUGAUCCUGCCGUGCCUGAGAAGAAGCCACCGUUGCUGGACCCGUCAUCUGAGGACGAGGAUAAUGACAUGCGCCACUUGAUGGAACUGGAAUCGCCACGGACUUCAUGGGCGUUGAUGAGGAUCUUAAGGCUGGCGCGCCUAACAAGCUAG
rnacentral:rRNA from 1 species